rnacentral:lncRNA from 1 species
UAAUAUUAAAAAUGAGAGGCGAGUUCAACCAACUCAGUGAGGGAAUAACAUUUAUUAUACAUUUCAUAUAUUUCAGAUAUUAUUUGCAAGAUGAUUUAUCUUGAUAUACAUAUACAUAUACAUAUACAUAUACAUAUACAUAUACAUAUACAUAUACAUAUACUUACUAAACAUAUUAUCAUAACGUAGUGGAUUACAUGUCAGAGAUCAGAUGACACCCGUCAGUGACCAUUGUGGGAUGAUCAAUCGCCACAGGCUGAUGCCUCUCUCACCAGCUAGGUAUACAGAAUACUAUGUGCACACA